GAUGAACGCUAGCGGGAGGCUUAAUACAUGCAAGUCGAACGGUAAGGUCUCUUCGGAGAUACACGAGUGGCGCACGGGUGAGUAACGCGUACACAAUCUACCUCUUAGAGGGGGAAAGUCGCUGGAAACGGCGAAUAAUACCCCAUAGUAUCAUAAUAUCGCAUGGUAUAAUGAUUAAAACUCCGGUGCUAAGAGAUGAGUGUGCGUUCCAUUAGCUUGUUGGUGAGGUAACAGCUCACCAAGGCGACGAUGGAUAGGGGGCGUGAGAGCGUGACCCCCCACACGGGUACUGAGACACGGACCCGACUCCUACGGGAGGCAGCAGUAAGGAAUAUUGGACAAUGGGCGCAAGCCUGAUCCAGCCAUCCCGCGUGUAGGAUGACUGCCCUAUGGGUUGUAAACUACUUUUAUAAGGGAAGAAACGCCUCCAUUUAUGGGGGCCUGACGGUACCUUAGGAAUAAGCACCGGCUAACUCCG
rnacentral:rRNA from 1 species